GACGAACGCUGGCGGCGUGCUUAACACAUGCAAGUCGAACGAUGAAGCCGGAGCUUGCUCUGGUGAAUUAGUGGCGAACGGGUGAGUAACACGUGAGUAACCUGCCCUUGACUCUGGGAUAACUGCGGGAAACUGUAGCUAAUACCGGAUACGACCCUCGGAGGCAUCUCCUGGGGGUGGAAAGAAUUUCGGUCAAGGAUGGACUCGCGGCCUAUCAGCUAGUUGGUGAGGUAAAGGCUCACCAAGGCGACGACGGGUAGCCGGCCUGAGAGGGUGAACGGCCACACUGGGACUGAGACACGGCCCAGACUCCUACGGGAGGCAGCAGUGGGGAAUAUUGCGCAAUGGACGAAAGUCUGACGCAGCGACGCCUCGUGAGGGACGAAGGUCUUCGGAUUGUAAACCUCUUUCAGCAGGGAAGAAGCGAAAGUGACGGUACCUGCAGAAAAAGCACCGGCUAACUACGUGCCAGCAGCCGCCGUAA
rnacentral:rRNA from 1 species